rnacentral:rRNA from 1 species
GAGAAGGGGUAGAGAGGGUAGGAAGACUGGAGGAGGAGAGAGAGAUUUUUUUCGAAGAGCACGAAUAUUUAUGGGAGGGAAGGGAGGGCCACGCUCAAGGAGGCGGGCUAGGGGAAGGCGGGGGAGGGCUGCUAGCGGGGGCGAGCAGGGUGGCGCCACCCGCUAGCGAGGAGAGGAGGCACGCGCGCUAAGGACUCCGCUCCGCUGGCUGUGGUCUAAGGCGGCCGGCCGGGUGGAGGGGGCGAAGCGGCUAGCCUAGCGCACGAGGUACUCCAUCUCCACUGCUAUUUCGUAUCAACAACUGAAUCGAACGUCACCAAGAAAUAGCUUCGAUUCCGUCUAUUAUUAACCGCAAUACCGUAUAGCUUACCAUACGCGAGGGGUUCAGUAACUAGAACUCAGACCCGCUCCCGUAGGAGUACAAGUAAGACUUUCAAAUUAAGUGUUACCCUUACUAAACAGGCUGGUUCCGCCAGUUAUAUGACAGUCUCAACAUCCGUUACGAUACUUACGACCAGAAAGACUAUGUGUCCCAAUGAUGUUAUACUCGUACUUAGUAGGUGUAGUCGGACAAGUAUCAAGAGACGGUUUAAAUCCGCAACUAAGUCCAAAACAGAAGGGUAGUUUAUACAUGUUGGGAACGUACAGUUGUAGAUACUUGUCUAUACAGAGAGUACGAGUCUCGAAACCUAACGGAAAUUUGGUUCAACAGAGUCCUUCAUACCUACCUUCAUGAUCUUUACUUUUACAGUCGCUUUGACGAUCUCCUAAGUAAUUUUCCUUUUUACGUCGUCAACGUCCUUCAACAGUAAAACAAUUACCUAGACGUUCGAGUUCGAGUAGGAGAGUAUGUAGAGUUUUAGGGUGUGUAUCCGGUACCCUAGGAAGAAAGCUCAGUUUACAAAAAGGAUUACAGUGUGGUAAGUUGGGUAGUCUUAUAGUAUCGGUGUCGUGAACCGGUAGACACCUUCCUAGAAGGUAAUGACCUAGUUUACCCAAAUUAAACUACCGACGAGUGGGUCUUAGUCGUGUCGUACCAUUGAUAUGUAAAGUUAGUUCAGUACGAUCAGUCACGAAAGUUGGACGGUCGUGAUGAACCCAAAGGGUCCGACGUUGACCUUAACACCUUCCUCAUGGUGUCACCAGUAUGUAGUUACGUUACAGAUCACAAGGUCCGUCUAAACGUGUAAGUCCCCGGUGUCUUUAUCACUUACCUCCGAAAGUACUUAUAGUCUUACCAGGAAGUUGGUAAAGAGUUCCCGUAAAUGGAAUAAAAGUAGUUGUACGACACGUAUCGUACGUUCGAGUAUUAGGUGACCUAGUAUGUGUUCACGUUCAGGGAAUGGUUGUUCCGGUGUUAUUACCGCAGAAUGUAUCACCCCAUUUAGUAAGACCAUUGGCCCAGGUGAACCCAGGUUCUUGAGGUCCAGAGAAGAGAUUAAGACUCGCCAGAAAACCCGGAGGUGUCGUAGGCAAGGACCACUUGGGUCAAUUAGGAUCCUUGUAUUCUUAAAACGGUGGAGACGUCGUACCACGUUAGUACCUAAAAAGCUCCAACAUACUCCCCAGUUUACAUCAUCUACUCGUAUCUCUAUACGCAGAUCUAUAUCUGUCGUACUGGAUACUCCUCGAAAAUCGUAAUCUUCUCGUGUAACCUCUGCAGUUAUGUCCAGACCGUUUUUCGGUGUAGCAUCUAUUUAACUUCUGAUCGAAUAUACACGGUCCUCGUUGGACGCACAGAUUAGUCAGUAGACUUGGAAGGUGUCUCUUACUCCGAACGUAUUAUACGGUCCUCCUCAUGCUCCGACUCCUGACGCAACCUUAGGACCUAACACCGGUGUCUAUGGUGCGCCUCACGAAUUUUGUCACCGACUGCCAUUUCUUGGAUACGGGGUAGACGUUCUGUUGUCGAAACAGACGCCCAUCUUCUUCACCUAUUGUUUGUCCUAAUUCGAAAUAGUCAAUAAACGAAGGCUGUUUGUAAGUCUAGUUAAAACAUGUAUUCUUCGCCAUCUGAUAAGACGAUGGACAUAAACAACAAGUGGAACAACACUACCCCUCAUUGAGCCGAAGGUUUUUGACAUGUCUGUAUUGUAACUAGCAAGAUAAGUUUACAUCUUACAAAUAUUUAAUGAGUCAACCUGUAUGUCACAUAGUAUACCACCUAGACUUCCAUUGAGAAUCUCACCGUAGAGAUCUUUGAUGGGACAUAUAUACAACCAAUGGGAUUUUGUUUGUCUUUGUACACAAAAAACACAUGUAAUAAUUUAGAAUUCUCUUGACUAUUAACAAAGACAA